AUGUGCAUUUCCUGUUCUGGAGACAAAAGCAACCUAGUUCCAUUCAGGCCUGGAGUCGCUGUGUGUCUUGGGGUUGCCAUGAAUUCUGCUGAGGCCAAAUUACCACGGCAUAAAAACGAAAGACUUCCCAGGGCCUUCUCUUUACAUAAAUAUCUGCGUUUUCCUGACUCUGGAGUAGUCACCUCAGGCCCACAGUCAGCCUCCUGUCCCCGUCAAGCCCUCUGUGGAAGACCUCAGCCGCUGUGUCCCUGCAGCUGCAGAGGUUCCGGUGGGAAACGCCCCAGUGCCUCCCGCGGGAGCGCCAGCAGAGCCUCCCUCCUGCUCAGGGCAGUGGGCCAAGCUGUCCAGGCAGAGCAGGAGGAAGCCAGCGCUUCGUGGCCGUGGGGUCGUUUACCCCCUUGCUGCAGUGCAGGGAGCGUCCUGGCUCUCCCCGCCGGCCGGCCUUGCCGUCUUCUCCGGACACAGGACACAGGAGCCCUGCUCGGCCGGGUCGCGGUGACCAAGCCCCUCGGUUCUCCCUGGCCACCAUCUAUCCUGGUCCUGGGAAGGCCCUUGCUCCCUAAGGCGCUUUCCCCCCUGCAGGACCCACUGGAAGCCCGAGCUCCCCGGAGGACCUUCUCCCCAGCGUCUCUCUCCCCGCGCGGCCGCCGCUGCCUCCCCCGACCCACGGCAGCAGCCCCCUUCACGCGUGGCUGUGCCCCUCUGUGCUCCGGGGCAGUGGGAGUCAGGCAGGAGGUGCAGGGCGUGUGUCUGUGUGUGUGUGUGUGCGGUGGGUGGGUGGGAAUGCCCAGCCCUGCCCCCUCGCCCCCGCAGCAGGGUGCAGCUUUGGACCACGGCCUCAGCUUCGCGCAACCGCGGCCUCAGCGUGGGUGGGUCAGGGCGCCCGAGGGGACGGGCCACUCACACCCGGGGCCUGGCCCGGAGCCCGGCGGCGCAAAGAUGGCCGGGCGCUCCUGGUGGCUCCCAGGCCUGCGGAGGCGGAGCCCGCCCGGCCCACCGGCCCUGUGUCCUCUCGCUAGCUCCUCGGCGCUCGCUCGCUCGGGGGACCGCGCGAUCAAUAGCCCCGGA
rnacentral:lncRNA from 1 species